rnacentral:lncRNA from 1 species
ACUAUAGUCAGUAAGACCUAUUUUCUUUUUGAACCUCAUUGCCCCACAAAACUGGUCCAGAAAAGACCUCAAAAUACUCUUACUUAGAGUGUAAUUAACUCAUAACAACUGAUGGAAACAAACAAACAAAGAAAAAAAUAGGAAGGUAAACUAUAGACCUAAGUAGGGGGCAGUAUGGGCAGUAGUUAAGGGCAUAGACAGGAACAUUAGACCAACUCCCACUCACAUGUUCUAUGACUGAGGACAAGUUGUGAAUCUCUUCAAUCUUUGCUUUCCUCAUCUGUAUAAUAGGAUGAGUAUCUCCCUCAUACGGUUCUUAUAAAAAUUAAAUGAGAAAAAUAAUGUUGGAAUUUAGCAUAAUAGGAGUUCCCAUUGUGUUUCAGCAGGUUAAGGUCCUGACAUUGUGUGGCGUAGGCCUCAGCUGCACCUCCAGCCCCUGGCCAGGAACAUCCAUAUACCACAGGUGCAGCUGUAAAAAAAAAAAAAAAGAAAAAAAAAAGAAAAAGAAUUUAGUGUAAUUUCGUAGCAUGGAAUUAGUGUAAAUGGUGUAGGCCAUCAAUAUAUAUGUUCCCUUGAAGCAUCUUUUGAUGUUUCUUAGGCAUAGUUAUCUAUCAAUUUAUGUGUCUAUCUUACCUAUCUAUCCAUCCAUUCAUCUUUCAUUUAUUUAUUCAUCUGCUUCUUUUACUAAAAAUGUUUAUAAUUAAAAAUGAAUUAAAAUUCCAGAAAUAUGGAAGCUUUCUUUCUUAGAAAUCAUUUUCAUGGACAAUAACAAAUAAAAUGAGCAUUCUUUUUGCCUAUAGAGAUCCUAAACAUUCAUUCAUCCAUUCACCAUUUAUUGGGCACUCUUAUUUCAAGGCUUGUGAUAGAAACAAGAGACCAAAAAUGAUUUGAAUGAUUUCAGCUGUCAAACAGGGUGACACAUGGGUUAUACAAUACAAUAAUUGUAAUAGAGCAUGAUUGGUGCUUUAAAGAUGCAAAAUCAGGAAACCAUGGGAAUGGAAAGAAAUGCAGGGUGCAUGCAGUUUAGAAGGGCAGAAGAGAGGCAAGUUAAAAGACUCUUUCCCCUAGGAUAGCAUUUUAGUGGGAAGACCUUAGGUCCAGGAGUCAGGGAGAUGUUAGAAGAAUGAAUUCUCUUUGUCACUGUUAAGCUGUUCCUUAAACUCUCUAUUUCCUCAUCUGUAAAAUGAGGCUUUUUUUUUUUUUUAAUGGCCACACUCGUGGCUUAUGGAGGUUCCCAGGCUAGAGGUCAAACUGGAGCUAUGGCUGGCGGCCUAUACCACAGCCACAGCAAUGUGGGAUCUGAGCCACAUCUGUGACCUACACCACAGCUCAUGCACCGCUGGAUCCUUAACCCACUGAGCAAGGCCAGGGAUUGAACCCUCAUCCUAAUGGAUCCUAGUUGGGUUCAUUCCUGCUGAGCCAUGAUGGUAACUCUGAGGCUAGUAUUUAUAUCAUUGAAUUGUUGUGGGAAUUAAUUAAAUAAUGCAUUUAGAACAAUACCUGGUACCUAGCAAAACAUGUGUAAAUAUUACCUAUUUAGUUGUUGAAUAUGCAGUUGUUAUAAUCACUAUUAAUAAAUGUCCUAGUGCACAGAAGUUCGACAAAGCAUGUUUUCUUUCUUUCUCUGGAUGGUAAUUUCUACUUUAGAAUCAUCUCAUCAAGGAGGCCAUCUAUAUCUGACCACCCCUCCCUGCCUCAUUCUCUGUACACUGUGGCAAUAGCAAAUAUAUGUUGAAAUCAUUGAUUUUUGUGAUUUUAUUUCCAUUAUACUGUAAUAUCUGUGAAAAUUAGAAAAGUUAAUAAAAAUAUGAUAGGCUAUGAAGCUAUAUUAAUAUUAAAAGAAAAUCCAUAUAGAUAACUUUAGAUCAGAAUUCUAGAAUGAGGUCCAUUAAGUGUAAUUGUGUUCAUUUUCUACUGCUACAUAACAGAUUACCACAAAGACAGCGAUUUAAAAUAGCACCCUUUUGUUAUCUUACAGUUGAUGUUUGGCUAAGCUGGAAUUUCAUCUUCAGGGUCCCUUAAGGUUAGAAUCCAGGUGCAGGCUGGGUCUGCCACCUCCUCAGAACAAAUGGGAAAUGAUUUGCUUCCAAGUUCCCUCAGAUUGUUGACAGAAUUCAUUUCCUUGCUGUUUUAAGAUUCAUGGCAUCUUGCUUCUUCAAAGUUAGCAAGAAAGAUGGCAUUUUUAGGGCAAGUUUGCUAGCAAGGUCCAGUCUUAUAUAAUAUUUGGUGAUCACAGGAGUGACAUCCCAUGACCUUGGCCAUAGAGCAUAACAUUAUAAUGGCAGUGACAUCCCAUCAUUUUUUGCCACAUUCUACUGGUUAGAAGCAAGUCCCACUCACCUUUAAUAUAAGGAGGUUGUAAAAGGGAUAAACGCCAGGAAAUAGGGAUCCCUGGAGGCACCUCAAAAUCUGUCUUCCACAGUAAUGUUAGGAUGCCCAAGAGUUCUGGACUUCAAGCUUGCAUUCUUUUUUUUGUUUCUUUUUUUGGCUGCCUCAUGGCAUAUGGAGUUCCCAGGCCAGGGAUAAGAUCUGAGCUGCAAUAAUAACCUAUGUUGCAGCUGUGGCAACCUAGGAUCCUUUAACACACUGUGCAAGGCUGGGGAUCGGACACAGUGAUCCAGAGACACCACUGAUUUCGUUGCACCAGAGCAGGAAAUCCCAGACUUGCAUUCUUAAUCCUUUGUUCAUUGGUGCUUUUGUUGAGGGCUUGGGAUUAGAUAGUAAUAAUAGGCUAGAACAACGCUGUAUCCAUUAAAAAGAAAAAAAAUAUGAAAAAGAAUACAAAAAUAUUUCUCUUGAUAUAAUUCUCUCUAAUAAAAAUCAUGUAACUGGGGCAUGUUACUCUGUGAAUUUAGAAGUAUCUAUUAGUUGAUAUAUUAUGGUAGAGCCAUCAUUAGGAAGAUAAUUCAUCACACUAGAAAAGCUGUACUGUGCAUUGUAAAUUACUAUAAUAAUACACUGCACCUGAUAGUUAUUAAUUUUAGUGCUGUCUGAUUUAUCAUAACAUUAAACAAUUCUAUAUUUGAAGAGAGACAAAUAGAAGUUCAUUUUCUUGGUGUUCUGAGAAUGAGGAAACAAGAUGCUCAAGAAUAAUAAUUAGAAGUAAGGAGAUUCUGUAUUUUCUGGACUAGAGUCUGUGAUUUCAUGGAUAUGGUAGUUAAAUUUCUUAACCUCAUUAUUAUUUUAUUUUUUAACAGCUGGUCUAUGUUUUACUAAAUGAGGGUGGUUGCAAAGCUCACUUGGGAUAUCAUACUGCUUAGGAUAUCAUACUGACGGCCUGGAUGAUUUGGCCACUUGCUGCCUGAGUGGGGCCUCUUCCCUCAUCAUUGCCCCUCUUUUAAACCUGCAGAUUGAUGGAUAAAGACCACCUUCCAAGCUUGAGAAGGACUUUGCUAGUAUUUGUUCAUUCCUCCUGGAAUCUCUGAAUUAGGGCUCAAUUCAAAUGACUUCAGAAAUCAGGAAGAUGGAUUUACAGAGUAAAGAAGUUGUGAUGUCAAAUAAUAGUGUUAAUAGGUCCAUUAUCUUUCCCAUGGGACAAAUAUUAAUCACAUCCAAUAGAAUAUUUCUACUCAGGAACAGACCUAAUGAUGUCCAACAAGCCAUGAGUAGGGAAGCACCUAUGACUUCUGCCAUUCAAUUGUCCAUGAAGAGAUUAAUUUUGAUAAAUGUUUAAAUUCCAGUAUUUCCUUAUAUAUUUUAUAUUUUGUGAAUACAGUACUUCUGUGUUAAGCCUAUCAAUCCUUCCUUCAAUAUUCAUUUCCCAAUUCCAUAUUCAAAAGUGCAGAAUGUAAUCUUGUAUAUGGAUCCUUGAAAAAGGACGGCUGUAGCUAAUUAUCAGCCCCAUCCUGGUGAUUUGGGCUUUUAUUAGAGGAAAGCUUUCAGUGAAUUGACUUUUGGAAGAUGUUUAUGUCAUAUUGACUCUUUGGAGUGGUGAAAACACUGUGACUGUUCUUUCCUCUUUACUCAUUAUAAGUGAGAACCCAUGGUGUACAGAGCACUGUUCUAGAUACUAGAGAUAUGACAAUGUGUAAUAUAAAGUCUCUGCCUUCAAUAGGCUUAUU